AGUUGACUAAAUCACAUGAUUGUACCAAAGGUUUAAAGUAUAGUUUUUAAGGAAUGGAUUUUCUUUAUCAUUUAUUCUUCUCAUGUGCUAUAUCAGUCUCACCAUUAUAUAAAAAAAUGUGAGAUGAGUAUAGUUUUUAAGGAAUGGAUUUUCUUUAUCAUUUAUUCUUCUCAUGUGCUAUAUCAGUCUCACCAUUAUAUAAAAAAAUGUGAGAUGAGUUUUAAAUAUAAUAAAUGAAAAGAAAAUUAAAAUGA
rnacentral:lncRNA from 1 species